UUAAAAAGCUCGUAGUUGGAUUUCUGUUGAGGAUGGCCGGUCCGUACUUUGUGCGUGUAUCUGGUUCAGCCUUGGCAUCCUCUUGGGGAACGUUUCUGUGUUUCAUUACAUGGGGCGGUAUUCAAGACUUUUACUUUGAGCAAAUUAGAGUGUUCACGGCAGGCAUUCGCCUUGAAUACAUUAGCAUGGAAUAAUAAUAUAGGACCUUGGUACUAUUUUGUUGGUUUCUAGAACUAAGGUAAUGAUUAAUAGGGAUAAUUGGGGGCAUUCGUAUUAACGCGUCAGAGGUGGAAUUCUUGGAUUGCGUUACGACGAACUACUGCGAAAGCAUUUGCCAAGGAUGUUUUCAUUGAUCAAGAACGAAAGUUAGGGGAUCGAAGACGAUUAGAUACCGUCGUAGUCUUAACCAUAAACUAUGCCAACUAGAGAUUGGAGGUCGUUCUUUUUAUGACUCCUUCAGCACCUUAUGAGAAAUCAAAGUCUUUGGGUUCCGGGGGGAGUAUGGUCGCAAAGGCUGAAACUUAAAGGAAUUGACGGAAAGGGCACCACCAGGAGUGGAGCCUGCGGCUUAAUUUGACUCAACACGGGAAAACUUACCAGGUCCAGACAUAGUAAGGAUUGACAGAUUGAUAGCUCUUUCU
rnacentral:rRNA from 1 species